rnacentral:rRNA from 11 species
GCACUCGUGCCUAAAUUCCCUAAGAACAAUGGAUUCCAUCUGAUUUUGGAAGCUAAGUACAGUCAGCCCUAGUUAGUACUUGUAUGGGAGACCCCCAAUGAAUACCAGUCGCUGUAUGCC